CGCACUUCUGCUCCUGAAGGGAAAGAGAUGCACAAGCAUGGGCAGGACCACAGACUUUUGCCAAUAUUGAGUAUCGUAUGAUAAUUGAUGAAGGUUUGGAGGAACCACCUUCAUGUCCAGACCUUGUGAGGAAGACUCACACACAUGCAGAUGGUUCCUUCAUAGACAAAUGAGCAGAGGCUCUGGUUAUGGAGACUGAGCAAGUGGUUGAAGAGAUGAUGACACAAGAUGGAUCUCCAGUUGGUGAAAGCCAAAUGUGCUCAACUUCUGGCACUACAACUUCAAAGUGCCUUCUCCUAAACUAAGAAUACAUCAAGCAUGGACAGACACACAAGGGAGAAACAUUUUAUGGACUUGGAAGUGUCCAGUUCAGGACCACCACUACUUCUCAGUUUGUGCCUGCCUUACUCAAGCGAAGCCUGGACAUGGAGAUGCGCAUGUGUGGCAUAGAGACUACCACCGAUGAAGUCAAGGCUGAUCUCAUGCUUUCAAGAGUGACUUCAACGAAGAGAUGGCUGCAAAAAGAUCAACUCUCAACAUGAUUCUCCAAGUUCUCCAGCUUCAAGCUUCUGUUCCUCCUGCCUCAACUACACAAGCAACUCAGCCUCAUCCUGACCGUCAAGCUCAAGCUCCAUACCCAGCUCAUGAUAAGUCUCAAACUCAAGGUCAAUCACAACGUCAACAUCUCAUAACCAACAACCAAGCUGACCUAGAUAAGUGGUGCAGUGCAGAAUUUGGUUUGUAGAAUUUAUAUGUGGUUGUUGUUACUUGCCCAGAAACAAGUUUAUGUAA